UACGUAGGGGGCAAGCGUUGUCCGGAAUUAUUGGGCGUAAAGCGCGCGCAGGCGGUUUCUUAAGUCUGGUGUCUAAGUGCGGGGCUCAACCCCGUGAUGCACUGGAAACUGGGAGACUUGAGUGCAGAAGAGGAGAGCGGAAUUCCACGUGUAGCGGUGAAAUGCGCAGAUAUCAGGAAGAACACCCGUGGCGAAGGCGGCUCUCUGGGACGGUACUGACGCUGAGACGCGAAAGCGUGGGGAGCGAACAGG
rnacentral:rRNA from 1 species